GUGUGAUUUAAAAAAACGUCCUUUGGACAAGUACAUUUACAUUUCACUUGUCCAUGCACAAAAGUCACUUGUCCGGGUAAAGAUUCAUCAUUUUAU